rnacentral:rRNA from 1 species
CCUACGUGUGGCUGCAGUGAGGAAUAUUGGUCAAUGGGCGGUAGCCUGAACCAGCCAAGUAGCGUGAAGGAUGACUGCCCUAUGGGUUGUCAACUUCUUUUAUAUGGGGAUACCGUGCAGUAUGUAUACUGCUUUGCAUGUACCUUAUGAAUAAGGAUCGGCUUACUCCGUGCCAGCAGCCGCGGUAAUACGGAGGAUCCGAGCGUUAUCCGGAUUUAUUGGGGUUAAAGGGCGCGUAGGCGGGUUGUUAAGGUCGUUGUGAAAGUUUGCGGCUCAAACGUAAAAUUGCAGUUGAUACUGGCAGCCUUGAGUACAGUAGAGGUAGGCGGAAUUCGUGGUGUAGCGGUGAAAUGCUUAGAUAUCACGAAGAACUCCGAUUGCGAAGGCAGCCUGCUGGACUGUAACUGACGCUGAGGCUCGAAAGUGUGGGUAUCAAACAGGAUUAGAUACCCUUGUAGUC